rnacentral:rRNA from 1 species
UAAAUCGACCGCCUGGGGAGUACGGCCGCAAGGUUAAAACUCAAAUGAAUUGACGGGGGCCCGCACAAGCGGUGGAGCAUGUGGUUUAAUUCGAUGCAACGCGAAGAACCUUACCUGGUCUUGACAUCCACAGAACUUUCCAGAGAUGGAUUGGUGCCUUCGGGAACUGUGAGACAGGUGCUGCAUGGCUGUCGUCAGCUCGUGUUGUGAAAUGUUGGGUUAAGUCCCGCAACGAGCGCAACCCUUAUCCUUUGUUGCCAGCGGUUCGGCCGGGAACUCAAAGGAGACUGCCGGUGAUAAACUGGAGGAAGGUGGGGAUGACGUCAAGUCAUCAUGGCCCUUACGACCAGGGCUACACACGUGCUACAAUGGCGCAUACAAAGAGAAGCGACCUCGCGAGAGCAAGCGGACCUCAUAAAGUGCGUCGUAGUCCGGAUUGGAGUCUGCAACUCGACUCCAUGAAGUCGGAAUCGCUAGUAAUCGUAGAUCAGAAUGCUACGGUGAAUACGUUCCCGGGCCUUGUACACACCGCCCGUCACACCAUGGGAGUGGGUUGCAAAAGAAGU